AUUGAACGCUGGCGGCAGGCCUAACACAUGCAAGUCGAGCGGAUGAAGAGAGCUUGCUCUCUGAUUUAGCGGCGGACGGGUGAGUAAUGCCUAGUAAUCUGCCUGGUAGUGGGGGACAACGUUCCGAAAGGGACGCUAAUACCGCGUACGUCCUACGGGAGAAAGCAGGGGACCUUCGGGCCUUGCGCUAUCAGAUGAGCCUAGGUCGGAUUAGCUAGUUGGUGAGGUAAUGGAUCACCAAGGGUACGAUACGUAACUAGUCUGAGAGGAUGAUCAGUCACACUGGAACUGAGACACGGUCCAGACUCCUACGGGAGGCAGCAGUGGGGAAUAUUGGACAAUGGGCGAAAGCCUGAUCCAGCCAUGCCGCGUGUGUGAAGAAGGUCUUCGGAUUGUAAAGCACUUUAAGUUGGGAGGAAGGGCGUUUGGCUAAUAUCCAGGCGUUUUGACGUUACCAACAGAAUAAGCACCGGCUAACUUCGUGCCAGCAGCCGCAGUAACAC
rnacentral:rRNA from 1 species